CUGCAUGAUGGAAGCCAUCAUUAUUUCAUCAAAGGAGAAUGAACAUUCCUUGCAUGCUCCAGAAAAUGAGUUUUCAGGGCUGCCAGUCUUGGAGUAAAGGCUGAGUGGUAGUGUAUUUCUCCUACAUUA
ensembl:snoRNA